AACCUUUCCAAUGCACGCAAGUGUGAGAAGGGGAUUCCAAGUGCUUAUACAUUGUAUAGGCUUUUGCCAAGAGUAAAUAUCUUGGCGAAUAAGUGGUGGGUAAGACUGGUGCCAGCCGCCGCGGUAACACCAGCGCCACAAGUGGGGGUCAGUUUUAUUGGGCCUAAAGCGUCCGUAGCCUGUUGGGUAAAUUUCUCGUGAAAUGAUUUCGCUUAACGAACUCACGUGCGAGAAACACUGCUCGACUUGGAGCCGGGAGGGGUCAGAGGUAUUCUUGGGGAAGCGGUAAAAUGUUUUAAUCCCAAGAGGACCGCCAAUGGCGAAGGCAUCUGACCAGAACGGGCUCGACGGUGAGGGACGAAAGCCAGGGGAGCGAUCCGG
rnacentral:rRNA from 1 species